rnacentral:pre_miRNA from 1 species
GAUUUCAAUUGAAAAAGUCGUCAACAACAAAGUUGAAUAACUUAUCAAGAUCUAGAACUUUUAUUUUUGUUAUUUCUUUAUCCAACAAAAUGUUAGUAAUAUUAUUCAUAAAUUUUACAUAUAUGUGUUAUAGUUUAUAAAACCAGAUAAGAGAUAUGUCAAUUUUGUGAACAAUGUUACUAUCACUUUGUCGUAUGAAGAAAUGACCAAAAUAAAAGUUUUAGAUCUUGAUGAGUUAUUCAACUUUGUUGUUGAUGACUUUUUCAAUUGAAAUC